CGAAGGAGGGUUACUGUUCACAAGCUUUUUCGUCGUCCUCACGUGCUCGCCAUCCUCCUUCGGCUCGGCUCUUCUCAUCAUCUCGUCUCAUCUCACAAUAGCAGCCAAAAUUUCGUUAUCUUCCCUUUCACCUCUUUUCAUCUCAUCUCAUUAAUGCACGCACAUGCUUUUCCAUUUUUGCUCCUUCGUCUGCUCUGGUUAUGAAUGGGUGGGCUGAGAAUCUUUCUUAAUUGGAAUAAGGCGUAUCACACAAUGGAUUUUAUCCUUUGGAUUUAUGGCCUCCAUCCUUUACCUGAGAUUUCUUCUCUUCUACCCAACAAUUGGAGGGUUCCUCUCCCAGCUGUUUGCGUUCUUGCGGAGGUUGAUUUUUUGUCGGAAUUUUCUUCUGUGCCUUUUUCCUUUUUCUUUUCUUUUGUUAUAUUUUCGCUUGCAUGCUGAAUUUUACAGAUGUUGUUCUUGUCCUUUUAUGUUUUACGUUAUUUUGUUGUUUUCAGGAUAGCCUUGUGCAUUUGUCUUCCAAAUCUGCGUGGAGAUCUAUUGUUUCUUUUCUUUCCUUCUUUCUUGCUCCCGGAGUUCGAGCAACUACCUAAUCAGCUGCUAACUCAGAUCAUCAGAUGGCUUUGUCACUAGCUCUUCAGCGGCUGGUCUCAUCGAGCAGCCUUCUCAGCCGGUCUCUCAAUCCCCUCCUCCGUCCGGCUGCUUCCGCUGCGUCAUCAAGUGUUUUCGACGUCGUCGAUCGCCGCUCCGAUCGUCCUCUCGACCAUAGCCGCGAAUUAUCCUGUUUUCCAGGAAGUAUUGGAGUAUGCAGAUAAAGACUGCAUGAAACAAGGAUUCCUUCACUUGUUCUUAUAAGAGGAAAUAGCAAAACUGGACAAAUUUGUUACUAAUCACUCCCUCAAAGUUGGUGAUUCCCCAAUCUAGAACAACUUUUGCUAUUAUUAUCUUCACCAGGAAAGGCAUAGAAAAGUUGCAACCCAGGCAUUUUAGCUUCAAAAUUUAGCUUGGAAAGGCAUAGAAAAGUUUCGACCCUGCAUUUUAGCUUCAAAAUUUAGUUUUAGUCAGAUUCUAUAUACUAAGAAACUUGGCUGUCAGAGGUUGGAGAAAAGUCAAGAUCCAAAGCUGCAACAAACACCUGCAUCAGCAAAUUAGUGCGGGGAGUGCAUCAAAUAUCAAGCUGCAUACUCUUGUGGAGGAUAUUCUUAGCUUGAGAGUGCUGUUUCAAAUGUGCUCUUUUGGUAAUAUAUCUAAAAAUGAUAAUCAUGUUAGUACUACAGUUGGGGAGUAUGCCUUAGGUAUAUUGCAUGAUGAGGAAUGGAUAAAUCCUCUGUGCUAUUGAGCACUUUUGUAUAGAAUUAGGGGCCUUUGCUCCAAGUGUAAAGGUUAGUUGAUGAUUAAUAUAUGGCUAAUAUCGUUUCGGAAAAAAAA